GCGGGCGUGGCGAAAUUGGCAGACGCUCAGGCCUCAGAAACCUGUGGGCAACCGUAUGAGUUCAAAUCUCAUCGUCCGCACCA
rnacentral:tRNA from 1 species